GAAUUCACUAGUGAUUUGGCGGCGUGGUUAAGACAUGCAAGUCGAACGAGAGAAUUGCUAGCUUGCUAAUAAUUCUCUAGUGGCGCACGGGUGAGUAACACGUGAGUAACCUGCCCCCGAGAGCGGGAUAGCCCUGGGAAACUGGGAUUAAUACCGCAUAGUAUCGAAAGAUUAAAGCAGCAAUGCGCUUGGGGAUGGGCUCGCGGCCUAUUAGUUAGUUGGUGAGGUAACGGCUCACCAAGGCGAUGACGGGUAGCCGGUCUGAGAGGAUGUCCGGCCACACUGGAACUGAGACACGGUCCAGACACCUACGGGUGGCAGCAGUCGAGAAUCAUUCACAAUGGGGGAAACCCUGAUGGUGCGACGCCGCGUGGGGGAAUGAAGGUCUUCGGAUUGUAAACCCCUGUCAUGUGGGAGCAAAUUAAAAAGAUAGUACCACAAGAGGAAGAGACGGCUAACUCUGUGCCAGCAGCCGCGGUAAUACAGAGGUCUCAAGCGUUGUUCGGAAUCACUGGGCGUAAAGCGUGCGUAGGCUGUUUCGUAAGUCGUGUGUGAAAGGCGCGGGCUCAACCCGCGGACGGCACAUGAUACUGCGAGAUUAGAGUAAUGGAGGGGGAACCGGAAUUCACGGUGUAGCAAAUC
rnacentral:rRNA from 1 species